GGCGGACGGGUGAGGAAUACAUCGGAAUCUACUCUGUCGUGGGGGAGUAACGUAGGGAAACUUACGCUAAUACCGCAUACGACCUACGGGUGAAAGCAGGGAUCUUCGGACCUUGCGCGAUUGAAUGAGCCGAUGUCGGAUUAGCUAGUUGGCGGGGUAAAGGCCCACCAAGGCGACGAUCCGUAGCUGGUCUGAGAGGAUGAUCAGCCACACUGGAACUGAGACACGGUCCAGACUCCUACGGGAGGCAGCAGGC
rnacentral:rRNA from 1 species